rnacentral:rRNA from 1 species
AAUGAACGUUGGCGGCAUGGAUUAGGCAUGCAAGUCGAGCGAGAAGGGUUUUGAAGCUUGCUUUAGAACCCGGAAAGCGGCGCAAGGGAGAGUAACGAGUAGUUAUCUACCCCAAGGCCCGGAAUAGCUGCGGGAAACUGCAGGUAAUGCCGGAUAAUAUCCCCGGAUCAAAGGUGUGAUUCCGCCUUGGGAGGAGACUGCUUUGUACUAGCUAGUUGGUAGGGUAAUGGCCUACCAAGGCUACGAUGCAUAGCGGGCGUGAGAGCGUGGCCCGUCUCACUGGGACUGAAACACUGCCCAGACACCUACGGGUGGCUGCAGUCGAGAAUCUUCGGCAAUGGGCGAAAGCCUGACCGAGCGAUGCCGCGUGCGGGAUGAAGGCCCUCGGGUUGUAAACCGCUGUCGUAGAGGAGAAAGGUCUGAUGAAGAAUCAGAUUUGAUCUAUUCUAGGAGGAAGUCGGGGCUAACUACGUGCCAGCAGCCGCCGUAA